AGUGCGCUAAAAGUGCUCAGAGUGACACUCUUACUUUAAAAACUGUUGUUGUUGUUCCCUCGAUGCAGUCCUGCUAGAGAUGAGGAGCUACCUGCUGGAUUUAACCCAAGUUAGAGCUUGAUGACAGUAAGUUGUAAGUUUGCGCUUGAUGCUGAGCACAGCAAGAGUCGAUGAAGGAGCUGGGACUUCACCUGUGGAUGCUUAGAACUGCGAACAUUUGGUAUCCAGGCUGGUUUUUGAAGAGAUCUUCUGUUGGAAGUUGAGCUGUCGUCUGUCCACCGUCUCAUCUGGUGUCAUCCAUCCACAUAUCCAUCUCAACUGCUGUCUCACCGUCCUCCCAGGAAGUCUCCAUCUCCGCUCAGCCAUCAGUCGUCACCUUGGACCAUCUUGUGGAACAUUCAGCAUAGACGAAGAUGAUUGAGAGUCAGGAGGAGCUGAAGAGGAGAUGAGGGCAUCAGUUCUGGUGAAGAACUGAACAGAAGGAGCAGCAGGUAUAAUGUGUCUGUGGAAAACAACCUGCAUCACUCCAGGCUGUUUGAAGCUGGCAAGAAAGGGACUGGUGAAAAAUAUUUCACGAUAUGGUAUCUAUGUCUGGUUUGGCAAUCUGUGGAUCACGAUAAAAAUCUAUUUACCUGUCUAGGUCAGACAGUCAUGAAGGUCAUUCUCCUCCUCAGUCCAUUUCCAGACAGGCCAGGAGGACAGUCAUUUUAUCCCCAUUAUGCUGAGCAUGCUCAAUGCAGGCUUUGGCUCCAUUUCUCCAGCUGCAGCACAGCAGCGAUGUGUGUUCAAGCUUAACUUGAAAAAUGUUAAUUUAUGCUCCUCUAAUAAACACUGUAUUAGCUGAAAA